rfam:Triticum aestivum genome assembly, contig: Triticum_aestivum_CS42_TGACv1_scaffold_220725_3B
UUGUUACUCGCUCAGUCCCAAAAUUCUUGUCUUAGAUUUGCCUAGAUACGGAUGUAUCUAUCCGUAUCUAGGCAAAUCUAAGACAAGAAUUUUGGGACGGAUGGAGUAGUUG